rnacentral:rRNA from 1 species
GACGAACGCUGGCGGCGUGCCUAACACAUGCAAGUCGAACGAGGUCCAUCCAGUGGCAACACUGGUGAAGACCUAGUGGCGAACGGGUGAGUAACACGUGAGGAACCUGCCCCGGUCUCUGGAAUAACAGGUGGAAACACCUGCUAAUACCGGAUGCCUUCACCGCAUCACAUGGCGUGGUGAAGAAAGAACUUCGGAUCGGGAGGGCCUCGCGGCCUAUCAGCUAGAUGGUGGGGUAACGGCCCACCAUGGCUCCGACGGGUAGCUGGUCUGAGAGGACGAUCAGCCACACUGGGACUGAGACACGGCCCUGACUCCUACGGGAGGCAGCAGUGGGGAAUCUUGCGCAAUGGGCGAAAGCCUGACGCAGCAACGCCGCGUGCGGGAUGACGGCCCUCGGGUUGUAAACCGCUUUCAGCAGGAACGAAUCUGACGGUACCUGCAGAAGAAGGUCCGGCUAACUACGUGCCAGCAGCCGCCGUAAUAC